CCUACGGGAGGCUGCAGUGGGGAAUAUUGGUCAAUGGGCGAGACCCUGAAGCAGCGAAGUCGCGUGAAGGAUGACUGCCCUACGGGUUGUAAGCUUCUUUUGUAAAGAAAUAAAGUGAGGCACGUGUGCCUUUUUGUAUGUACUUUAUGAAUAAGGAUCGGCUAACUCCGUGCCAGCAGCCGCGGUAAUACGGAGGAUCCGAGCGUUAUCCGGAUUUAUUGGGUUUAAAGGGAGCGUAGAUGGGUUGGUAAGUCAGUUGUGAAAGUGUGCGGCUCAACCGUAAAAUUGCAAUUGAUACUGGCAGUCUUGAGUACAGUUGAGGUAGGCGGAAUUCGUGGUGUAGCGGUGAAAUGCGUAGAUAUCACGAAGAACUCCGAUGGCGAAGGCAGCUUACUAAACUGCCACUGACAUUGAUGCUCGAAAGUGUGGGUAGCAAACAGGAUUAGAUACCCCAGUAGUC
rnacentral:rRNA from 1 species